CCUCGGUCCCGCCUCAGCAGCCGGGGGCGCUCGCAGCGGGGACUGCGCCCGCGGGGGAGGCUGCCCUAUUACCAAAGCGCACGUGUCCACGUUCCAACACCGCCGGCGAGAGCAGCCUUCGUGACCCCAGCUGCCGGAGAAAGAAAUGUAAAAUGCAGCCAGGCGAAUCGCGCGGGUCUCCCCAAACUUCCGUUCUCCUCCGACCCGCUGGAAAGGCUCCUGACUGGGGUGCAGCUGACCGGAGCGGGCUGCAGCGGGCCCGGGUGCCAAGGUGCCGUCUCAGCUGGGCGCCCUAGGGCCGUGUGUGCUUGGCAAGCUGCAGGGCCUCUGCUCCCAAAGCCUGUGCCUCCUGCCGCCAAGGCCCGCCUGGUUGCUGGAGACGGAAAUGAGAUGGCAUACACAGAGCUCCUGGUACAGGCAGUGGUCAGUUCCAUUCAUGUUGAAAGGUGUACCCCAGCCUCUCUCUUCCACUUUCCUCAGCACCAAGCCAACGCAGGCAAAUUCAUAGGUUUUCCUUAAGACAAUACCACUUUAGCCAGACGUGGUAACUCCCCAAGUUUCCAAGCACAGUUAGAGAUCUUCCUACCCUUCUGCUCCUAAGACAUGCCUGCUUGUGGCCAAUAGAGAAUGAGAGCAGAUUUCUGCUUACCUAUGCGGCAAUCUGUUCUGUUGGCCACCCAUUCAUAAACGAUAGUACAUGUGUCGUAAUCAUCUUUGCAUUUGAGAGAGUACCAAACACAGUGCUUUACCCACUGAUACAAACGGUACUUAGUAAAGCAUGCGUUGAAUUUUUGUCUAUCUUAUAAUGUAAGAUCCUGACAAUUAAGACUCAGGAUUAAGCUAAUUGUGCCAAGCACAUGAUAAAUGGUCAAUAAAGGAUUUUGGUUAUUAGUAUAACUCUAUGUGUAUUUCUCUUCCAAACUCUCCCAUAGCAUAUUCUAUUACUUCUUCCAUAGCAUUUCUUUUAUUUUUUAUUUUUUUUGAUGGAGUCUUGCUCUGUCGCCCAGGCUGGAGUGCGGUGGUGUGAUCUAGGCUCACUGCAACCUCCGCCUCCCGGGUUCAAG
rnacentral:lncRNA from 1 species